GCUGAAGAGUCAGAAAUUUUGUGCCUCGA
rnacentral:piRNA from 1 species